GAGCCUGUCUUAUGAGGUGAGAUGUAGAUGGAGUGUUUGCUGGACAGAAGCAUCCGACGAGGAGAGCCCGUCCUCAGGGUGGGGUACGGACACAGAGGAGGGGACUCCACCUGCACACACAAACGACAGCGAGCCUUUCCUCAGAGGACUGCCGGACUGUUUGCCAGUUGUUUUGGUGACGGCUGAUUGGACGCCGAGCGUGCCGCUCAGAGUCUGUGCGGACAGCGGCUGCAACAUGGCUCCGCCCUGUCCGGUCACACUCACCUGGAACGGGAUGAAGGUGAUGCCUCCGCUCUCAUUGGCUAUACCUGCAGAGGUCAGAGAUGCUGAGGAGGCAUCACCUGAAACGCACACACGGGGACCACAGUCACGAGCUGAGCACCGCGAGCCUGCUUCUUCAGCAACAGGAAGAGCUGAAGCUUGUGUUGUCUUCAGUGCACACUGAGUAGACCUGAAUGACCUGCUGGCAGGUGGGGACGUGGUCUUUGGUCCCACGGAGGCUCUCCCACAGGGGGGAGUCACUGGUCCAGGCCAGGGUCUCCAAGACCUGCUCCUCCACCUGGUUCAGGCUGGCAGAGCAGAUCUGGAGGUGGAGGUGGAGGCGGGGGGAGCAGAGGAAACACCGGGUGUCAACAGGAAGGGAGAUAUUUUAUGGACCAAACAACUAAUGGCUUCUAAUGGACAACGCAGCAGUACUACACAGACGGUGUACAUGGACUUUAGGAAGGUGUCGCCAUCCGGCAGCCCCAGAGGAGGGACGUUAAGGCCCUGCAGAUCACC